AGCAGCCGCGGUAAUUCCAGCUCCAAUAGCGUAUAUUAAAGUUGUUGCAGUUAAAAAGCUCGUAGUUGAAUUUCGGGGUUCUACCGUUGGUCGGGCUAUUGUCUGUACUGGUGUGUAGAAUUUCUACCUUCUGGGGAACUAUCAUGCUAUUAAUUUAGCGUGGUAGGAAACCAGGACCUUUACCUUGAAAAAUUAGAGUGUUCAAAGCAGGCUUAUGUCUGAAUACAUUAGCAUGGAAUAAUAAAAUAGGACGGUGGUCCUGUUUUGUUGGUUUCUGAAUCACCGUAAUGAUUAAUAGGGAUAGUUGGGGGCAUUAGUAUUCAAUUGUCAGAGGUGAAAUUCUUGGAUUUAUUGAAGACUAACUUCUGCGAAAGCAUUUGCCAAGGAUGUUUUCAUUAAUCAAGAACGAAAGUUAGGGGAUCGAAGACGAUCAGAUACCGUCGUAGUCUUAACCAUAAACUAUGCCGACUAGGGAUCGGAUGAUGUUAUUUUAAUGACUCAUUCGGCGCCUUACGGGAAA
rnacentral:rRNA from 1 species